rnacentral:antisense_RNA from 1 species
CAAAGUCUGGAGGGGGCUGAGGCAGCAGGGGGCUGGUAUAUCAGCACUGCCCUGAGCGUGUGCACACCUGGCCAGGCUGCGACAGUGCCCAGGCUCACCGCAACUUUUCUGUGAGGUCAGAGUGGACACUGACAGCAGGGAGAAGCCAGGCAGCAGGAGCAGGCACUUCCAAACCUGCGAAGGCCAGGGAUGGGGCUUCCUGGGCCCCCAAGAGUGCAGAGAUGCCUGGGUCUGCAGCCGUGGUUUGGGUGGCUGCAGCUGCGCCCAGGAGAGUGGAGCUUCUCUCUCCUCCUGGCUUACCGCAAGAGCACAGGGAUGCCUGGGUCUGCAGCCAGGACGUGGGCAGCUGCAUCUGCACCCAGAGGGGUGGGGCUCCUGCCUGUUCCCUGGAGCAGGAGGCCUGGAUCUGCAGCUGGAACUUGGGUGGGAUGCCUGCCUGCUCUGUGGAGCAGGAGGUCUGGGUCUACAGCUGGGACUUCAGUGGCUGCAGCUGUGCCCAGGAGAGUGGGGCCCCCAUCUGCUCCCGGCCCGAGAGCACAGGGAUGCCUAAGUCUGCAGAGAGCUCCCACCCAACUCGGAAGGGGCAGGGCUCCUGCUUGUCCCCAGCUCCUGCCAGUUCCAUGGAGCAUGCAGCCCUGGCUGUGCCUCCCUGCUGCAGCUGGCAUGAUGGCACCAGCCACUCUAGAUGGACCAUGGUGUCAUCACUGAGACCCUGCCUUGACACAGCUGUCAGGACACUCUCUAGCCACACUUGCCUUCCUGCUACCAGUGCCUCCCUGGCUCAGGUGGCUGCAGCUCCUUGAGAUGUCCCAGUGGGUCCUGGGUGAGCUCAUCCAGCACUGUCCCCCUUCCUCUGUCUCUUCAACUGCAGGCUGGAAAAUUCACAUGUUACCAGGAAAACAGCCAGCUACCCAGGGCUAUUUACCUCAGGGGCCAAGCUUCCCCUGGGAUGAGAUUGUUGGGCUCAGAGAACAUGUUGAGCAAACACAGUACUUUGUGUGAGCUGGAUUAGGCUCAUACAGGCUCCAGAGUCCCAAAUAUGGCUUCAUCCACAGUGACUGAGCAGCAGCGAGGGCUCUAAGACCACCCAGCUCUCCUCCUGGGUAUUUUUUCCAUUCUACUCAUCCCAAAACUUGAUCUCACAUUGCUCUCUCUUUCUCUGCCUCCAUGCUUGAUGCAUUUACUUAAUCUUUUGCAGGAUGGGUCAUUACUUUUUGCAAUAACACACUCAAAGGUAAUGACCAAGAUAAAUUGAAAAGAGGAUUCAACACUAUUCAUUGUAAGAUUGAGUGGGAUAUAAAAUACGUAAUCAGCACUUAUGAGGAAUAUCACUGGAUUCUCUUCCUCCUACUCACCCUCCUUUUUUUUUGCAUUAAAACCUGGGAAUUUGAUGUUGAUUCUGGCCUGAAUGUUAAGCACAUUCUGGAUUUUCUACACCGUUCUGACACCACAGGUACUUGUUUGUUUCUCAGAAGGCAGGUGAAGCUCAGCUGUGUGGGGCUGUGCUUGGUGGCAGUGAGGGAAACGUGUGGAAGUCACUAUGGUGUUAGCAGGUUUUACUAGCAGUUUGCUUAGAAAACAGUCUCCGAUCUGCACUUGCACGUCCACCACGAUGCCUUCUCCCCACGGCUCUGUGGACACCAGGAGGCCAGGGCACAGAGGAUGUGCGACUUGUGCUCCUGUCUUGCUGCACAGUCUAAAGACCUCACGUGCGUUUUGAAUGUUCAACCACUAUUAGAGUGAGAAAUGGCAUCCAAGAUGCUUUUACUGAGGAACGUUGACAACUGGAAAAACAAAUCAAGCUUGGAUUCCAGGGAACCGUGCCCAGAUUUCCUGUUUUAUGAAUUUUACCAUUCCCUCUUAAGGCUGUUAGGUUUGAAUAACUUGAUAAACUAUCAAGAGAAAACCAUGCAGCAUUAUGUUCACUGCCAAGUAAUAUGGACGUAGAGGAUGGCAGAAUUCUGUAAAACCACUUCUGGAGUUCAACAUUUAACCAAGCACAUUUUACUUACCUGUUACCAACGUGUCGCUUGGAAUGUCUUCUAUUAGGCAUUUCUCCUCACGUUCCCCUGCGUGGAAAUAAAAGGCAGUUGAAAAUGGAAAACCAAAAC